rnacentral:sRNA from 1 species
AUCCGAGGGCGCGGCCGCGCCACGGCAGGCUCGGCGUCCCUGCAGCCGGGCCUCACAGAUACGCAUGCGCUGCCCGCCUGUCGCCUGUCGCGCGGAGGCGGGGGCACUGGUUAGGAAGGUCAGCCCGACGCCGCGGGAGCCUAGGUAGUCAUCCAUCAGAAUAAUGACCAUUAAUGCGUCAUUCCGCCGGGCCGGACUGCCCUGGACGGCGCUCUAGGCAAGCCAUCCACAGCCUGAAGUGAGAUGCCAGCCAGAGACAGCCUGAGUCCGAGACACAAGGCAGAGAGAAUGAAGUACAAAUCAUAAUGGUCAUCACUCAGUGAACACACUCCCUUAAGCACCAUCCAGGAUGUUUAGCUGGUUUUUAAAGGAGAAAGAGACCGCUGAGAGAAAACACUGGAGUGGCAGCCCAGGCAGCCGUGCCUGCAGGAGGAUGCCUCCCAGCAGAACAGAGUCCUCACUUUCUGCACUUGAACUGUGUGGUAUGCCCAGAGAUAUUUUUUUUUUACUUUAUUAGAUGCUGCAAAUCAGUCAUGAAGACAUUUUUAGCUGUGCUGAUGAAUAUACAUUUGGUGGCUAAAUUUAGGCUUUUAUUUUAAACAUUUUCUCCGUUGAAACUUGAAGGUGUUGCUUAGCUACCUUCCCCCUUUUCUCAGUGUAGACUCUGAUUUAAUGUAAUUUCUUCUGCAGGUGCUAGGAACGAACAGGCUGCUGUCAGUAAGAAAAUGAACCACCCAACUGGAAACAGGCACAAGAUAUCUUACUAGAAAAGGUCUCCAGAUGGUGGGCAAGCACAAGAAUGAAUGUCGGUGAGCUUCAGGACAGACAGGCAACUCCAGGAAGUCCAUCAGCUGACCUCGGCUCAUGUAUCAAAGUCCAAAGUUAUUCUUAAGUGAUGAAAUCAACCCCAAGCCACCCCUGUGUACGUCACUGCCUGAGCAGAGCCGCUGCCGUGGUGCACAGCCCUCCUGCAACUGGCUCUCCCCUAGGACUGCGUGAAGGCUGCCCUCAGGCUCCUGACAUCUGUGACUGUUCCUGCUCUUAGGCCCUCGGGGUAGCUAGGUUUUAAACAAAAGAUUCCCACACAUAUGACACUGCCUCUGAGUCAUCCUUGCAGCAAAUAGAACUCUUUUCCCCUGCUGACCCAACCACCGGAAGAGCCAUCUCUUCUCCAAAACCUGCAACCAGACUUGAGGCUUGAGAAGUUAUGGGAAG